rnacentral:rRNA from 1 species
AUUGAACGCUGGCGGCAGGCCUAACACAUGCAAGUCGAACGGUAACAGGAAGCAGCUUGCUGCUUUGCUGACGAGUGGCGGACGGGUGAGUAAUGUCUGGGAAACUGCCCGAUGGAGGGGGAUAACUACUGGAAACGGUAGCUAAUACCGCAUAACGUCGCAAGACCAAAGAGGGGGACCUUAGGGCCUCUUGCCAUCGGAUGUGCCCAGAUGGGAUUAGCUAGUAGGUGGGGUAACGGCUCACCUAGGCGACGAUCCCUAGCUGGUCUGAGAGGAUGACCAGCCACACUGGAACUGAGACACGGUCCAGACUCCUACGGGAGGCAGCAGUGGGGAAUAUUGGACAAUGGGCGCAAGCCUGAUGCAGCCAUACCGCGUGUAUGAAGAAGGCCUUCGGGUUGUAAAGUACUUUCAGCGGGGAGGAAGGGAGUAAAGUUAAUACCUUUGCUCAUUGACGUUACCCGCAGAAGAAGCACCGGCUAACUCCGUG